rnacentral:rRNA from 11 species
UGGGGAAUAUUGCACAAUGGGCGCAAGCCUGAUGCAGCCAUGCCGCGUGUAUGAAGAAGGCCUUCGGGUUGUAAAGUACUUUCAGCGGGGAGGAAGGGAGUAAAGUUAAUACCUUUGCUCAUUGACGUUACCCGCAGAAGAAGCACCGGCUAACUCCGUGCCAGCAGCCGCGGUAAUACGGAGGGUGCAAGCGUUAAUCGGAAUUACUGGGCGUAAAGCGCACGCAGGCGGUUUGUUAAGUCAGAUGUGAAAUCCCCGGGCUCAACCUGGGAACUGCAUCUGAUACUGGCAAGCUUGAGUCUCGUAGAGGGGGGUAGAAUUCCAGGUGUAGCGGUGAAAUGCGUAGAGAUCUGGAGGAAUACCGGUGGCGAAGGCGGCCCCCUGGACGAAGACUGACGCUCAGGUGCGAAAGCGUGGGGAGCAAACAGG